rnacentral:rRNA from 1 species
UAGGGAAUCUUCCGCAAUGGGCGAAAGCCUGACAGAGCAACGCCGCGUGAGUGAUGAAGGUCUUCGGAUCGUAAAACUCUGUUAUUAGGGAAGAACAAAUGUGUAAGUAACUAUGCACGUCUUGACGGUACCUAAUCAGAAAGCCACGGCUAACUACGUGCCAGCAGCCGCGGUAAUACGUAGGUGGCAAGCGUUAUCCGGAAUUAUUGGGCGUAAAGCGCGCGUAGGCGGUUUUUUAAGUCUGAUGUGAAAGCCCACGGCUCAACCGUGGAGGGUCAUUGGAAACUGGAAAACUUGAGUGCAGAAGAGGAAAGUGGAAUUCCAUGUGUAGCGGUGAAAUGCGCAGAGAUAUGGAGGAACACCAGUGGCGAAGGCGACUUUCUGGUCUGUAACUGACGCUGAUGUGCGAAAGCGUGGGGAUCAAACAGGA